UACGUAGGGGGCAAGCGUUGUCCGGAAUCAUUGGGCGUAAAGAGCGUGUAGGCGGCCCGAUAAGUCCGCUGUGAAAGUCCAGGGCUCAACCCUGGAAUGCCGGUGGAUACUGUCGGGCUCGAAUCCGGAAGAGGUGAGUGGAAUUCCUGGUGUAGAGGUGAAAUUCGUAGAUAUCAGGAGGAACACCAAUGGCGAAGGCAGGUCUCUGGGCCACUACUGACGCUGAGAAGCGAAAGCAUGGGGAGCGAACAGG
rnacentral:rRNA from 1 species